rnacentral:rRNA from 1 species
UGGGGAAUUUUGCACAAUGGGGGAAACCCUGAUGCAGCGACGCCGCGUGAUUUAGAAGGCCUUCGGGUUGUAAAAAUCUUUUCUAUGGGAAGAAAAUGACAGUACCAUAGGAAUAAGGACCGGCUAAUUACGUGCCAGCAGCCGCGGUAAUACGUAAGGUCCGAGCGUUGUCCGGAAUCAUUGGGCGUAAAGGGUACGUAGGCGGGUAAGCUAGUUAGAAGUGAAAUCCUAUAGCUCAACUAUAGUAAGCUUUUAAAACUGCUCAUCUUGAGGUAUGGAAGGGAAAGAGGAGUUCCUAGUGUAGCGGUGAAAUGCGCAGAUAUUAGGGGGAAUACCGGUGGCGAAGGCGACUUUCUGGCCAUAACCUGACGCUGAGAUACGAAAGCGUGGGUAGCAAACAGG